rnacentral:misc_RNA from 1 species
UGGACUACUAGGGUAUCUAAUCCUGUUUGCUCCCCACGCUUUCGUGCCUCAACGUCAGUCGUAGUUUGGUAAGCUGCCUUCGCAAUCGGUGUUCUGUAUGAUCUCUAUGCAUUUCACCGCUACACCAUACAUUCCGCCUACCGCAACUAAACUCUAGCCCGACAGUAUCAGAGGCAGUGCCGGAGUUGAGCCCCGGGAUUUCACCUCUAACUUAUCGAACCGCCUACGCACCCUUUAAACCCAAUAAAUCCGGAUAACGCUUGCAUCCUCUGUCUUACCGCGGCGGCUGGCACAC